rnacentral:rRNA from 1 species
AUGAUUUUAGAUGUGCACAAGGGGUGCAAACUUGGAUCAAAUGUGUUUAGAGCUUGGUCCUAUGUAAGUAUUCUUCUUUGGAUUAUGGAACACAAGAACCAGCACGCGGUUGGGUACGUGAAUUCAGAGAAAUACUAUGGGGCCAGAGUGAGUGUUAAUGUGUGGUCACCCAGGAUAGGCGACCCAUCUGAGUUCAGCCCGUCACAGAUCUGGGUCAUCUCCGGCUCCUUCGGCCACGAUCUCAACACCAUUGAGGCUGGAUGGCAGCUGUAUGGAGAUAGUAAUGCUAGGUUCUUCACUUACUGGACAAUGGGGUUCUACAACCACAAUUGCUAUGGGUUUGUCCAUACGACCAACAAGAUAGCCACCGGCGCGGCUAUCACGCCACAAUCGGUGUACAACAGGAGGCAGUUUGAUAUUAAUCUGAUGAUAUGGAAGGUAAAUGGCAUUUCAGAAUCACUACUAUAA